rnacentral:rRNA from 1 species
AAUUCCNUCUAAAGCUAAAUAUUGGCGAGAGACCGAUAGCGAACAAGUACUGUGAAGGAAAGAUGAAAAGAACUUUGAAAAGAGAGUGAAAAAGUACGUGAAAUUGUUAAAAGGGAAGGGUACUGCAUCAGACAUNGUUUAUGCUGUUCAGCAAUUUUUCGGAGUUGUGUAUUCAGUAUUACUAGGCCAAGAUGGGGUAUGUUUGUAGGAAAAAACUUUAGGAAAGUGGCUCUUCGGAGNGUUAUAGCUUAUUGUAAUACUACAUAACGUGCCNCAGGACUGCGCUUCGGCUAGGAUUUUGGCGNAAUGA